rnacentral:rRNA from 1 species
GACGAACGCUGGCGGCGUGCUUAACACAUGCAAGUCGAACGGACUUAGAAUUUAAGCAAUUAGAAACUAAGUUAGUGGCAAACGGGUGAGUAACACGUAGAUAACCUAACCAUAAAACUGGGAUAACAAUUCGAAAGAAGUGCUAAUACCGGAUGUGGUAUACAAAACAGAAGUUAUGUAUAUUAAAGAAUGCCUCUGACAUAAGCAUUCGAUUAUGGAAGGGUCUGCGUCUGAUUAGCUAGUUGGUGGGGUAACGGCCUACCAAGGCGACGAUCAGUAGCCGGUCUGAGAGGAUGAACGGCCACACUGGGACUGAGACACGGCCCAGACUCCUACGGGAGGCAGCAGUGGGGAAUCUUCCGCAAUGGACGAAAGUCUGACGGAGCAACGCCGCGUGAGUGAAGAAGGUCUUCGGAUUGUAAAACUCUGUCAAGAGGGAAGAAAACUUGGUAAUCGAAUAGGUUAUCAAGCUGACGGUACCAAAAGAGGAAGCCAUGGCCAACUACGUGCCAGCCGCCGCUGUAACAC